UACGUAGGCAGCAAGCGUUGUUCGGAAUUACUGGGCGUAAAGAGUGUGUAGGCGGUGCUCUAAGUUCGGUGUGAAAUCUCCCGGCUUAACUGGGAGGGUGCGCCGGAAACUGGUGUGCUUGAGCGCGGGAGAGGAAAGCGGAAUUCCUGGUGUAGCGGUGAAAUGCGUAGAUAUCAGGAGGAACACCUGUGGUGUAGACGGCUUUCUGGACCGUAGCUGACGCUGAGACACGAAAGCGUGGGUAGCAAACAGG
rnacentral:rRNA from 1 species